UGGUGUGGUGGUGGGAUGUAUGGACGUGGGGAUAGGCGCGGGUGCGUGCUGUGACGAAACUAGGACAGUGUAGUUUUUUUUUCGAAGUCGCCGAAAAGUCGAAAGAACAUGUGCGACAUGCAGAACAUGCCAUCAAGAGAUGAUACAUCUUGUGACGAAGAUAGCGAGAUGAAUUUCGCUACGUUUGCUGCGGGGGGUGCACAUUUCGUGACCACUGGAGGGCAGCUACCUGUUACGAAAAUUCAACAGAAUGUGUCGAACAAUGGAAACUCUUUAUCACAGAUGGUAGGUAUGGUGGGGGGUGUCACUAUGGGCGAGGGUGGCAUGCAGUAUGUCCGGUCGCUGGACGGCGGCACCAGCUUGCAGCCCACUCCUCAACUCAUCUCCGUGCCUAUAGCGUUGCCCGGAGUCAAACCUGGUGAUCCGCAACCAACGGUGCAAAUACAGGUGCUCAAUCCGAAUCUACUACAAACUCAGCAACAACCGAAAUAUCAUAUGCAAAUACCCAUACAGGGAUUACAGAAUGGUGCUGUUUUGACCUUGGCGUAUUCACCGGAAACUAACGACGCUGGCACCUUACAGCUUGUCGGACAGAAUUCAUUAGGAGAAGGGCUCCAAGUAUUAACCGCUCUCUCGCCAGAUCUGCAAGUUAUGCAGCCUUCACAAACUCGAACACAUGACAGUGAACAUAACCAGCCUACUAUGCAUCAGGUAUUCAUAACACCGAACCAACAGAUUAUUAUAAAUGGUCCGGAUAAAGCUUUGAACAACAACACAGACAACAAUAAUCCGAACAUCACUAAUAUUACCAUCAAAGAGGAAUGUGAAGAAAACAUUGAUGAUGAAAGUUCACAAGGGACUGAGACAAGUGACAGUAUGUCAUAUCCAUCGAACCCCAGUGAUGAGGCGCUGCUCAUAAAGUACCUCAACCAAUUUCCGCAGGAAAAACAAUCAUUGCCUGCUUCUCUACAACAGUUCUUAAGGCUGAAACAUACUGAGGCAAAAAAGCAGAUGAUCGAAGUUGAAGUUCCACCAGAGCACGACAAAACAGUCGAGGCCGUCGCUGAAGCCAUUCUCAGUGAAGACGGCACUUUAAGAAUAAAAAGCAAGAAAAGAAAGAAAUACAAAAAGAAGCCAAGUAAACUGGCCCGACCGAAGCCAGGGCAGGUUGUCAUAGCGACUGCCGCCGAUGGAACACCCAUAUAUUGCUGUCCAGAAUGUCAGAUGGCAUACCGAGAAAAGGAUGAACUGGAACAACACCUUAGUGUUCACAAGAUCGAGAGGAGAUUUAUAUGUGGAAUCUGUGGCGCUGGUUUGAAACGCAAAGAGCAUCUAGAGAGACACAAGCUAGGACACAACCCGGAGCGGCCCUACGUGUGCUCCGUCUGCACCAAGGGCUUCAAGCGACGGGAACAUCUCAACCUCCACGCCGUGCUGCACUCAGGGGUCAAGACUGAGAUAUGCGGAGAAUGCGGGAAAGGCUUCUACCGUAAGGAUCACCUCCGCAAGCACACACGGUCGCACGAGAGUAAGCGAGCUCGCGAGCAAGCGGACGCGGCCACUGCUGAGAAGCCACAACCUGCCAACAACAAUACUUCUAGUAUACCCGAGAUCACCAUUCAUAUUCCAACGAGUUCAAGCAUGCAAGUGCCCAUCGAGAUAAACAUCCCCCAGCACCUCGUGACGUCACUGGCGUCAGCGCAGCAGCAGCAGCAGCAGCAACAAGCACACGAAACACUGGACGCCCUAUUGGCCCAACACACCUGACACUCUGCUUAGCGGCCGCCCACACCGACGGGGAAACUCACACCAUGCCUUCGAUCCCAGCCCUAGAUAAAUGGAUCGCGCGUCCCACUCGUCGCUCCCGCUACCGCUUAUCACCGGGCACUCACCCUGAAUGCGCGCCGGACUUCGAGUCUUGGUAAAUGAUACAUCGUUCGAGCCAUUUCAAUAUUGAAACACGGUAGUUAGUAUUUUUUCAUCAUUACAGAAUAAAGUUGGAAGUUGCGAUUUUUUGUAAAUUGUCUUAGAAGUAAUUUGUAAAAAUAAUAUAUCGUAUAUCUCAAAAUUUUGUAUGUUUCGAUUAAAAACUUCGGUCAAAAACUUUCCAAUGUUAGCGAGUAGGUAAAAUAUAUACAUACAUACAUACAUGAAUACAUAUUUUUUAACGGUAUUUUUAUGAAGCGUCAAAGUUAAUUUAGUAGUAGGAAGUAAGGAAUAAUGUAUGUACCUAUGUAGUGUUUUUUUUUUGUAAAUCAAUUCUGUGAGUUGGUUUUUUUUGGGACAAGCAGUAGUUUUGUAAGUUUCUUGUAGUGUAAACUCUUAAAUUUUCGUACUGUCAAUUAUUAUAAUGAAAUUAAAGCGAUUUCUUCUCUGUACAGUGCAGCCAUAAGGUUCAGUUCUCACUGCGCGAUAAUUUUUGUUUUAUACCAAUAUCGAUUCGGGAAAUAUAAUCAUUUCGAGAACCAAUGAGACAGUCUUAGCGAGCUUUUAGCUUCGUACGAUUUAAAAAAAUUUUUUCUGACAAUUCGUCUUCUCGCAUUAAAACUGUAUAAUCUCAAAACUACUAAUUUUACAGGAGAG
rnacentral:misc_RNA from 1 species